GUAGCGAGAGGAAGGUGAGAAUCCUUCCGGCCGAAUAUCUAAGGUUUCCAGAGUAAAGCUGAUCUGCUCUGGGUAAGUCGGGGCCUAAGGCGAGGUCGAAAGACGUAGUCGAUGGAUAACAGGUAAAGAUUCCUGUACUAUAUCAUAACAGAACUGUGGGGACGCAGACAGAGAGCAUAAGCCGGGAAUGGAAAAACCGGUACAAGCGAGGUAGGAGUGCAUCAGGCAAAUCCGGUGCACAAUCUGAAGACGUGAUGU
rnacentral:rRNA from 1 species